GACGAACCGUGCGAACGUUGUUCGGAUUCAUUGGGCUUAAAGGGCGCGUAGGCGGCCGCUCAAGUCGGGGGUGAAAUCUUUCAGCUUAACUGGAAAAUAGCCUCCGAUACUGGGUGGCUGGAGGGAGAUAGGGGUGCGCGGAACUUCCGGUGGAGCGGUGAAAUGCGUAGAUAUCGGAAGGAACGCCGGUGGCGAAAGCGGCGCACUGGAUCUCAUCUGACGCUGAGGCGCGAAAGCCAGGGGAGCAAAGCGGG
rnacentral:rRNA from 1 species